UAAUGCUGGAGACCUAUAGCAACCUCAUGUCCUUGGGGCACUGUGUUCAUAAACCUAAAUUGAUUGUCAAGCUGGAGCAAGGUACAGAACCAUGGAUAAGUGAAGCCUCAGACAAGUAUUUCACUGAUGUCCAAGAAAUAGAGGAUGUGAU